CUCUGUUCUCAUCCCACUGAAAAAACAACCCGCACCGCAGCUGGAAGGUCUGGGUGUCGUUUAUUGACAGCGGUUUACACAGAUUUAUUUUCUUCCCAUGAUUGAUUCCUCUGGGGCCCAGGAACGUGGGAUGCGCGUCUUUGGCUGGCCCAGCGGCCGGCAGGAUGUGAUCCUUCAAGCUGGAAUUCCACCGGGCAUUGGAGCCGGAAGACUCCAGCAGGACGCACCUGGGGCCAGGUCUCCUCUUGGCUCCCUAUCCAAGUCCAUCCUGGUUUUAGGACCUUGGGGGACAGCAGAGCCAGGCCCACCCACCUCAAAAGGGGCAGAUUCCUUGGCUGUGCAGGAAUUGCCCACCCUCUCGGCCACUGUCCUGGAAUCUUCACUGACAGGAUGGAGGCCAGGAGAGCGACCCCGCUGGUCACCAUCGCCCUGCCCUUCUGCCAGCUGCCGGGCCCCAGGCUGGGGCACCCACAAGCCCUGAGCCGCUCUGCACAGGCACUUGGCAGUUUCUGGUAGGGAGGUGGAUACAAAGGUGGAUACGGGAGGAACAAAAGACCUUCCUUGGAUAAUCAUCGGGCUAAAGUGAUUUUAGCUUUAUUUCCGUCACUUCGGGUCAAUCAUGAAGUGUCACAGUGAUUCAUUUUGGGGGUGGGGGCGGAAGGGAAGGCGCCUCCGGCCCGGCUCACUGGGGCAGCUGCAGGAGCACCGACUGCCCGGCCGGCAGGUAGGUGAUGUUUCGAGGGCGAGACAGCUGGUAGGCGAUGUCCUCGGCGGCCUCCAGCUUGCGCAGCUCGAUCAGGCCGUCGCCCGAGGUGGCCAGCGAGUUAGCGAUCAGCUCAGCCGCCUUGGGUCGCCCUCGGCGGAGAUGAUGGCUGCCUUCUUCUGCUGCUCAGCCUAAAGGAGCGGAGGUGAGAGAGACGGAGACCCCAGCAGGGGCCCUGGCUGCCAGUCCUCUUUCCUCAGCCGCUUCUCAGCACUGCAGGGAUGAGCUCUCAGGGGCUGCACAAACAGCCAUCGUAGCCAGGCACCGUGCCACACACCUCUAAUCCCAGCACUUGGGAGGCUGAGGCAGGGGGAUCGUCACGAGUUCGAGACCAGCCUGGGCUACCAUCUCAAACACCAAAAUCAAAGCAAUUCUCAGGGUCGUCAUUCCCUCUCACCCCAAGUCAAAACAGUUUCCAUGAAAAGCAAGCAGGACUGGGCUGGGGGUGUGGCUGAGUGGUAGAGCACAUCCCCAGCAUUCAUGAGGCCCUGGGUUCCAGCCCCAGCCCCAUGAACAGGCCCAAAGCGACGAGAGGCUAAAGAAGAGCAGUGUAGGCCUGGACACUGGGCUGUUCUCUGAGCAGGCACCUAGAUAAGGCCUCCUUGGCCUGCUGGCCAGUACCAUACAAUAAUCCCUGGGCCACGAUGGCCUUCAUUGCGUGGGACAGGAGUACGACGCGGAACAGCUCUGAAACGCACACACAAUCCUCUUUUUUGUUGUUUUAGUGCUACAAGUCUAACCUUGCACUGCUAGGCAAGCGCUCUACCACCCGAACCACAUCCCGCUGUCUGUCUACUCUCCCGAUAGGAGACUGCACUGAGCAACACCAGGGGAGUGCUGGGCUGGUCACAGGCCCCAGGGACGUGGCAGGCACACAUGGAGCUCACAGUCUCCACAGUCCGAUCUCUCCCUCUUCUCCCUGAUCUGAAGGCUUACAAGGUCUUGGAUUAGGAACACUAGCGUGGGGGAGAGAGACAGCAAAUAAAUCCACCUCUAUAAGUAAGGGGAAGACCAGGUUGCCCAAAAAUACACUGUGUUCCAUGACACUCAGACACAUCUGGAUGGGUUUAGCCCAGGAAAAAAAUCUGGGGACAAUAAGCACAUCUGGUGCACCAUUUGAUCUUUUUUGCUGUCAGCUUUCACUAUGGAACCAUGGUUAAAAAUGACUUCUCAGUGGAGCUAAAAGUCUUCCAGGAGUAACAUUUUCAUGUGGAGGAGAGUUUUUGAUCUUGGGCAAGUGGGAAGAAAAUGACCCUUCACGUGUCCCUGAUGAGCCCCCUAAGACUCUGGAACCGAUUGCAGGAGUGCAGCUCUUUCACCCCCCUUCCAACGAUCCCGGAAGGAGAGAUGACAGAUGAUGAAUUUCCAGGCCACCCAGCAGACGGGGGGAGCCGAGCAAGGGCGCAUGGGAGAGGGGUCCGCCAUCUGGCCAGGCACUCACCUUCUCCACUACGAAUCUGGCCCUCUCUGCUUCCUGCUGGGCCACCUGUUUGGCUUCCACAGCUUCUGUGAACUCUUUCCCGAAGGUCAGAUGUGUCUGAGGGGAGAGAGCUUGGG
rnacentral:lncRNA from 1 species